rnacentral:rRNA from 1 species
GAUGAACGCUGGCGGCGUGCUUAACACAUGCAAGUCGAACGGAAAUGUAAGGAAGCCUAGCGAAUUACAUUUUAGUGGCGGACGGGUGAGUAACGCGUGGAUAACCUGCCUUAUACUGGGGGAUAACAGUUAGAAAUGACUGCUAAUACCGCAUAAGCAUACGAAACCGCAUGGUUUUGUGUGAAAAACUCCGGUGGUAUAAGAUGGAUCCGCGUCUGAUUAGCUAGUUGGUGAGGUAAUGGCUCACCAAGGCGACGAUCAGUAGCCGGCCUGAGAGGGUGAACGGCCACAUUGGGACUGAGACACGGCCCAAACUCCUACGGGAGGCAGCAGUGGGGAAUAUUGCACAAUGGGCGAAAGCCUGAUGCAGCGACGCCGCGUGAGUGAAGAAGUAUUUCGGUAUGUAAAGCUCUAUCAGCAAGGAAGAAAAUGACGGUACUUGACUAAGAAGCCCCGGCUAACUACGUGCCAGCCGCCGCAGUAAUAC